UACGGCCGUAUCACGAUGAAACACUAGUUCUCGUCCGAUCCCCGUAGUUAAUCAACGUUGAACCUGGUUAGUACUUAGACGGGUGACCUAUCCGGAAUACAUGAUGCUGUAAG